CCUACGGGAGGCAGCAGUAGGGAAUCUUUCACAAUGGGCGAAAGCCUGAUGGAGCAACGCCGCGUGCAGGAUGAAGGCCUUAUGGUUGUAAACUGCUUUUAUAAGCGAGAAAUAUGAUGGUAACUUAUGAGUAAGGAUCGGCUAACUACGUGCCAGCAGACGCGGUCAUACGUAGGAUCCGAGCAUUAUCCGGAGUGACUGGGUGUAAAGAGUUGCGUAGGUGGCAUAAUAAGUAGCUAGUGAAAUCUGGUGGCUCAACCAUUCAGACUAUUAGCUAAACUGUGAAGCUCGAGACCGUUAGGGGUAACUGGAAUGUCUAGUGUAGGAGUGAAAUCCGUAGAUAUUAGAAAGAACACCGAUAGCGUAGGCAGGUUACUGGGACGGUUCUGACACUAAGGCACGAAAGCGUAGGGAGCAAACGGGAUUAGAUACCCCAGUAGUC
rnacentral:rRNA from 1 species